AUUGAACGCUGGCGGCAGGCCUAACACAUGCAAGUCGAACGCGUGGCGGACGGGUGAGUAAUGUCUGGGAAACUGCCUGAUUGAGGGGGAUAACUACUGGUAACGGUAGCUAAUACCGCAUACCCUCAGAUGUGCCCAGAUGGGAUUAGCUAGUUGGUGGGGUAACGGCUCACCAAGGCGACGAUCCCUAGCUUGUCUGAGAGGAUGACCAGGCACACUGGAACGGAGAAACGGUCCAGACUCAUACGGGAGGCAGAAGUGGGGAAUAUUGCACAAGGGGCGCAAGCCUGAUGCAGCCAUGCCGCGUGUAUGAAGAAGGCCUUCGGGUUGUAAAGUACUUUCAGCGGGGAGGCGUUACCCGCAGAAGAAGCACCGGCUAACUCCGUGCCAGCAGCCGCGGUAAUAC
rnacentral:rRNA from 1 species